rnacentral:rRNA from 1 species
UUCCGGUUGAUCCUGCCGGACCUGACUGCUAUCSGAUUGGUACUAAGCCAUGUGAGUCAUUGUASCAAUACAAGGCAUACGGCUCAGUAACACGUAGUCAAUCUAACCUAUGGACGUGGAUAACCUCGGGAAACUGAGAAUAAUCCACGAUAGAUCAUUAAUCCUGGAACGGUUUAUGGUCCAAAUGAUUCGUCGCCGUAGGAUGGGACUGCGGCCUAUCAGCUUGUUGGUGAGGUAAUGGCCCACCAAGGCUAUUACAGGUACGGGCUCUGAGAGGAGAAGCCCGGAGAUGGGUACUGAGACACGGACCCACGGCCCUAUGGGGCGCAGCAGGCGAGAAAACCUUUGCAAUGUGCGCAAGCACGACAAGGUUAAUCCGAGUGUUUCCUGCUAAAGGAAUCUUUUGUUAGUUCUAAAACCACUGAUGAAUAAGGGGUGGGCAAGUUCUGGUGUCAGCCGCCGCGGUAAAACCAGCACCUCAAGUGGUCAGGAGGAUUAUUGGGCCUAAAGCAUCCGUAGCCGGKUCUAUAAGUUCCCGGUUAAAUCCACUAGCUCAACUAGUGGGCUGCCGGAAAUACUGUAGAACUAGGGAGUGGGAGAGGUAGACGGUACUCGGUAGGAAGGGGUAAAAUCCUUUGAUCUAUUGAUGACCACCUGUGGCGAAGGCGGUCUACCAGAACACGUUCGACGGUGAGGGAUGAAAGCUGGGGGAGCAAACCGGAUUAGAUACCCGGGUAGUCCCAGCUGUAAACGAUGCAGACUCGGUGAUGCCCUGGCUUGUGGCCAGUGCAGUGCCGCAGGGAAGCCGUUAAGUUUGCCGCCUGGGAAGUACGUACGCAAGUAUGAAACUUAAAGGAAUUGGCGGG